GACGAACGCUGGCGGCGUGCUUAACACAUGCAAGUCGAACGGAAAGGCCCUGCUUUUGUGGGGUGCUCGAGUGGCGAACGGGUGAGUAACACGUGAGUAACCUGCCCUUGACUUUGGGAUAACUUCAGGAAACUGGGGCUAAUACCGGAUAGGAGCUCCUGCUGCAUGGUGGGGGUUGGAAAGUUUCGGCGGUUGGGGAUGGACUCGCGGCUUAUCAGCUUGUUGGUGGGGUAGUGGCUUACCAAGGCUUUGACGGGUAGCCGGCCUGAGAGGGUGACCGGCCACAUUGGGACUGAGAUACGGCCCAGACUCCUACGGGAGGCAGCAGUGGGGAAUAUUGCACAAUGGGCGGAAGCCUGAUGCAGCAACGCCGCGUGCGGGAUGACGGCCUUCGGGUUGUAAACCGCUUUCGCCUGUGACGAAGCGUGAGUGACGGUAAUGGGUAAAGAAGCACCGGCUAACUACGUGCCAGCAGCCGCGGUGAUACGUAGGGUGCGAGCGUUGUCCGGAUUUAUUGGGCGUAAAGGGCUCGUAGGUGGUUGAUCGCGUCGGAAGUGUAAUCUUGGGGCUUAACCCUGAGCGUGCUUUCGAUACGGGUUGACUUGAGGAAGGUUUUGGGAGAGUGGAAUUCCUGGUGGAGCGGUGGAAUGCGCAGAUAUCAGGAGGAACACCAGUGGCGAAGGCGGUUCUCUGGGCCUUUCCUGACGCUGAGGAGCGAAAGCGUGGGGAGCGAACAGGCUUAGAUACCCUGGUAGUCCACGCUGUAAACGGUGGGUACUAGGUGUGGGGUCCAUUCCACGGGUUCCGUGCCGUAGCUAACGCUUUAAGUACCCCGCCUGGGGAGUACGGCCGCAAGGCUAAAACUCAAAGGAAUUGACGGGGCCCCGCACAAGCGGCGGAGCAUGCGGAUUAAUUCGAUGCAACGCGUAGAACCUUACCUGGGUUUGACAUGGAUCGGGAGCGCUCAGAGAUGGGUGUGCCUCUUUUGGGGUCGGUUCACAGGUGGUGCAUGGCUGUCGUCAGCUCGUGUCGUGAGAUGUUGGGUUAAGUCCCGCAACGAGCGCAACCCUUGUUCACUGUUGCCAGCACGUUAUGGUGGGGACUCAGUGGAGACCGCCGGGGUCAACUCGGAGGAAGGUGGGGAUGACGUCAAGUCAUCAUGCCCCUUAUGUCCAGGGCUUCACGCAUGCUACAAUGGCUGGUACAGAGAGUGGCGAGCCUGUGAGGGUGAGCGAAUCUCGGAAAGCCGGUCUCAGUUCGGAUUGGGGUCUGCAACUCGACCUCAUGAAGUCGGAGUCGCUAGUAAUCGCAGAUCAGCAACGCUGCGGUGAAUACGUUCCCGGGGCU
rnacentral:rRNA from 1 species